rnacentral:rRNA from 1 species
CCUACGGGAGGCAGCAGUGAGGAAUAUUGGUCAAUGGGCGGGAGCCUGAACCAGCCAAGUAGCGUGCGGGAUGAAGGCCCUGCGGAUCGUAAACCUCUUUUGCCCGGGAAUAAAGCCCUCCACUUGUGAAGGUCUGCAGGUACCGGACGAAUAAGGGCCGGCUAAUUCCGUGCCAGCAGCCGCGGUAAUACGGAGGGCGCGAGCGUUAUCCGGAUUCAUUGGGCUUAAAGGGAGCGUAGGCGGCCGGUCAAGUCAGCGGUAAAAUCGAGGGGCUCAACCCCUUCCCGCCGUUGAAACUGGAGGUCUUGAGUGGAAGAGAGGCAGGCGGAAUGCGUGGUGUAGCGGUGAAAUGCAUAGAUAUCACGAGGAACCCCGAUUGCGAAGGUAGCCUGCCGGCGUGCGACUGACGCUGAGGCUCGAAGGCGUGGGUAUCAAACAGGAUUAGAUACCCGUGUAGUC